AAAGAUUAAGCCAUGCAUGUCUAAGUAUAAGCAACUAUACAGUGAAACUGCGAAUGGCUCAUUAAAUCAGUUAUCGUUUAUUUGAUAGUACCUUACUACUUGGAUAACCGUGGUAAUUCUAGAGCUAAUACAUGCUAAAAAUCCCGACCUCCGGAAGGGAUGUAUUUAUUAGAUAAAAAACCAAUGCCUUCGGGCUCCUUGGUGAUUCAUGAUAACUUAACGAAUCGCAUGGCCUUGCGCCGGCGAUGGUUCAUUCAAAUUUCUGCCCUAUCAACUUUCGAUGGUAGGAUAGUGGCCUACCAUGGUUUCAACGGGUAACGGGGAAUUAGGGUUCGAUUCCGGAGAGGGAGCCUGAGAAACGGCUACCACAUCCAAGGAAGGCAGCAGGCGCGCAAAUUACCCAAUCCCGAUUCGGGGAGGUAGUGACAAUAAAUACUGAUACAGGGCUCUUUUGGGUCUUGUAAUUGGAAUGAGUACAAUUUAAAUCCCUUAACGAGGAACAAUUGGAGG
rnacentral:rRNA from 1 species